AGUGAACGCUGGCGGUAGGCCUAACACAUGCAAGUCGAACGGCAGCACAGUAAGAGCUUGCUCUUACGGGUUGCGAGUGGCGGACGGGUGAGGAAUACAUCGUAAUCUACUUUUUCGUGGGGGAUAACGUAGGUAAACUUACGCUAAUACCGCAUACGACCUACGGGUGAAAGCAGGGGAUCUUCUGACCUUGCGCGAUUGAAUGAGCCGAUGUCGGUUUAGCUAGUUGGCGGGGUAAAGGCCCACCAAGGCGACGAUCCGUAGCUGGUGUGAGAGGAUGAUAAGCCACACGGGAAGUGGGACACGGUCCAGACUCCUACGGGAGGCAGCAGUGGGGAAUAUUGGACAAUGGGCGCGAGCCUGAUCCAGCCAGAGCGCGUGGGUGAAGAAGGCGUUCGGGGUGUAAAGCCCUUUUGUUGGGAAAGAACAGCAGCAGGUUAAGACCCAGCGGUUCUGACGGUACCCAAAGAAUAAGCACCGGCUAACUACGUG
rnacentral:rRNA from 1 species